GAUUGUAACGCGUGGAUAACCUGCCUAUCUGACCGGGACGACACCUGGAAACGGGUGCUAAUACCGGAUACGCUCAUCUAGUCAAAAGAAUAGAUGAGGAAAAGGGGAAACCCGCAGACAGAUGGGUCCGCGUCCCAUUAGCUAGUUGGAGGUGUAAGAGACCCCCAAGGCGACGAUGGGUAGCCGGCCUGAGAGGGUGACCGGCCACACUGGAACUGAGACACGGUCCAGACUCCUACGGGAGGCAGCAGUGGGGAAUCUUCCGCAAUGGGCGCAAGCCUGACGGAGCAACGCCGCGUGAGUGAAGAAGGCCUUCGGGUUGUAAAACUCUGUCAUCAGGGAAGAAGAAAGUGACGGUACCUGAGGAGGAAGCCCCGGCUAACUACGUGCCAGCAGCCGCGGUAAAACGUAGGGGGCGAGCGUUGUCCGGAAUUACUGGGCGUAAAGGGCGCGUAGGCGGUUAUCCAAGUCAGGGGUGAAAACCUUGGGCUCAACUCAGGGCCUGCCUCUGAAACUGGGUAACUUGAGGGCAGGAGAGGGGAGUGGAAUUCCCAGUGUAGCGGUGAAAUGCGUAGAUAUUGGGAGGAACACCAGUGGCGAAGGCGGCUCUCUGGCCUAACCCUGACGCUGAGGCGCGAAAGCGUGGGGAUCAAACAGGAUUAGAUACCCUGGUAGUCCACGCCGUAAACGAUGGGUGCUAGGUGUAGGAGGUAUCGACCCCUUCUGUGCCGUAGUUAACACAAUAAGCACCCCGCCUGGGGAGUACGGCCGCAAGGUUGAAACUCAAAGGAAUUGACGGGGGCCCGCACAAGCGGUGGAGCAUGUGGUUUAAUCCGACGCAACGCGAAGAACCUUACCAGGGUUUGACAUCCUCUGA
rnacentral:rRNA from 1 species